UACGUAGGGUGCAAGCGUUGUCCGGAAUUAUUGGGCGUAAAGAGCUCGUAGGCGGCUUGUCGCGUCGGCUGUGAAAACCUGGGGCUCAACCCCGGGCCUGCAGCCGAUACGGGCAAGCUAGAAUUCGGUAGGGGAGACUGGAAUUCCCGGUGUAGCAGUGAAAUGCGUAGAGAUCGGGAGGAACAUCAGUUGCGAAGGCGGCUCUCUGGACCAGCACUGACACUGAGGCACGAAAGCGUGGGGAGCAAACAGG
rnacentral:rRNA from 1 species